UAUUUUAUCCCACUACCUACAUGCUACUAGGUACUUCAUUUUCAGCUUUUCUUUUUCUUUUCUCUUCCUUCUGAAAAAAAAGGAAAUCUGUGAAAAUAAUUUUAUUUCUUUAAAAGAAAAAUCAAAAUAAUUAGCAACCUAGUUUUAGGGUUUAAUUAAAUAUCCUUAAUUAGAAUAUAGGGUUACUUCCCAGUAGUUUGAAGUGAGUGACCCACCUAAAAGAUGAAGAAAGGCAUAAUUUUCGAGAGCUGUCCCUCGCUUUGCUUUUUACUUGAAUCAAAUAUAUGCAAUAAAGCCAGCUUUUUUCCAAAAAGAGCAGAAAGGUCCAUUAAAUCCGGGAGCGGAUCAAUUGCCUCACUACCACCACCACACCUCACCUACGCUAAGUGUUUUUAGCCAUCAAAAUUAUAACAAUAAUUAAUCAUCCUUUUUAAUCACUUUUUAUUACCUAAUAAAAAGCCUCUUUCUUUUAUGACUUCCAUGAAUUCUUGCCCUUUCACUUUGAACUAAUUCUCUUACA
rnacentral:misc_RNA from 1 species